CAGACUGGCUCCAUACCUGAGACACUCUUUCCUCCCGCAGGACCACCGAUAUUACGCCCUUUGGGGCAGUGAGGUGGAAAGGAAAUUAGCGGCCAGCAGUAUUUCUCUGCUGCUGGCCAUUUCACGAAGAUUCCCCCACCUCAGAGACACAGUAAUUCGGCCAGAGCUGGCCUGCUUCCUGCAAAAUCUGAAAGAAGAUGACCUCAUCAUUGAUGACUUAUGAUUUUCCUCCCUGAAGGAAUUGCUGGCUCUAUUUGGACUUCCCAAUUGGCCAAAGACUGGCAGAAGAAGAGGCGUCGAGAAUCAGGAGUGGGACAGAUGAUUUAACCAGCCAUGAAAUAUGGACUGAGAUUG